rnacentral:lncRNA from 1 species
AGUGAGCCGAGAUUGCGUCACCGCACUCCAGCCUGGGCGACAGAGCGAGACUCCGUCUCAAAAAAAAUGACUGGACAAAAAACACUCUGAUGCAAACAGGCAAGAAACCCAGCAAGGCCUAUCUGGAUUCUCCUUGGCCUGUCUGCAGCAUUCAUUCCUUCUGGGUAUGGAACAGGACCCUCUGGAAUGGGGGCUGUGGCCUACAACAGUUAAACAAGAAAUCUCUCUCUGGGAACAGUGUGGAAGAUGGAUUGAAAUGGUGUAAAAUUGAAGAUGUGGACUCCGGUUGGGAGACUACACCCUAGAUAAGAUGAAGAGAACUUGAAGCAAGACAAUAGCAAUGGGAAUAUAAAGGAGAGGAGACAUUUGAGUGAAAUUAAGGAAGCACAAUCUGCAGACUGUUUUCUUUUUUUUAAGAGUCAGGGUCUCCCUAUUUUGCCCAGGCUGGUCUCAAAGUCCUAGGCUCAAGCGACCCACCCACCUCAGCCUUCCAAAAUGCUGGAAUUACAGGGGUGAACUGCCUCACCAUGCCUCAGUCUGCAGAAUUUGAUGACUGAAUGUAUUUGGAGAGAGUCUGUGGCUUGGAUGACUGGAGACGGAGUUUCUCCAUUUUGGCCAGUUUGGUGUCGACCUCCCGGGCUUAAGCGAUCCACCCACCUCAGCCUCCCAAAGUGUUGGGAUUACAGGCGUGAGCCACUGUAUCCAGCUUGUGAUAUACUUUUAAUAAAUUUCUCUUAAACUUAAAUUAGCAAGUGCUUGUUUAUCAUCCUUCCAAUUAGAGAACCUGGAUUCGGCCAUUAGGAAGUCAAGGGUGGCAUUCAU